rnacentral:rRNA from 1 species
GUUGUAUGGUUAAGUGACUAAGCGUACACGGUGGAUGCCUUGGCAGUCAGAGGCGAUGAAAGACGUAGUAACUUGCGAUAAGCCCAGAUUAGGUAGUAACAACCAUUUGAGUCUGGGAUUUCUGAAUGGGGAAACCCACUUACAUAAGUAAGUAUCAUUAACUGAAUACAUAGGUUAAUGAGGCGAACCGGGGGAACUGAAACAUCUAAGUACCCCGAGGAAAAGAAAUCAACCGAGAUUCCGAAAGUAGCGGCGAGCGAAAUUGGACUAGCCCUUAAGCUUUACACGCGUUAGACGAACGGUCUGGAAAGUCCGACGAUACAGGGUGAUAGUCCCGUAGUUGACGACGUGUGUUCAGUGAAAUCGAGUAGGGCGGGACACGUGAUAUCCUGUCUGAAUAUGGGGGGACCAUCCUCCAAGGCUAAAUACUACUGACUGACCGAUAGUGAACCAGUACCGUGAGGGAAAGGCGAAAAGAACCCCUGUGAGGGGAGUGAAAUAGAACCUGAAACCGUGUACGUACAAGCAGUAGGAGCAGGCUUUGUCCUGUGACUGCGUACCUUUUGUAUAAUGGGUCAGCGACUUAUAUUCAGUGGCAAGGUUAACCAUCUAGGGGAGCCGUAGGGAAACCGAGUCUUAACUGGGCGUUCAGUCUCUGGAUAUAGACCCGAAACCAGGUGAUCUAGCCAUGGGCAGGUUGAAGGUUGAGUAACAUCAACUGGAGGACCGAACCGACUAAUGUUGAAAAAUUAGCGGAUGACUUGUGGCUAGGGGUGAAAGGCCAAUCAAACCUGGAGAUAGCUGGUUCUCCCCGAAAGCUAUUUAGGUAGCGCCUCGGACGAAUACUACUGGGGGUAGAGCACUGUUAAGGCUAGGGGGUCAUCCCGACUUACCAACCCUUUGCAAACUCCGAAUACCAGUAAGUACUAUCCGGGAGACACACGGCGGGUGCUAACGUCCGUCGUGGAGAGGGAAACAACCCAGACCGCCAGCUAAGGUCCCAAAUUACUACUAAGUGGGAAACGAUGUGGGAAGGCUCAGACAGCCAGGAUGUUGGCUUAGAAGCAGCCAUCAUUUUUAAAGAAAGCGUAAUAGCUCACUGGUCGAGUCGGCCUGCGCGGAAGAUGUAACGGGGCUAAGUAGUAAACCGAAGCUGCGGCAAUGUGCUUUUGCACAUUGGGUAGGGGAGCGUUCUGUAAGCGGUUGAAGGUGUGUGGUAACGCAUGCUGGACGUAUCAGAAGUGCGAAUGCUGACAUGAGUAACGAUAAAGGGGGUGAAAAACCUCCUCGCCGGAAGACCAAGGGUUCCUGUCCAACGUUAAUCGGGGCAGGGUAAGUCGACCCCUAAGGCGAGGCCGAAAGGCGUAGUCGAUGGGAAACGGGUUAAUAUUCCCGUACUUCUUACAAUUGCGAUGGGGGGACGGAGAAGGCUAGGUGGGCCUGGCGACGGUUGUCCAGGUUCAAGUGCGUAGGCUUAAGAGUUAGGUAAAUCCGGCUCUUUUUAAGGCUGAGACACGACGUCGAGCACCUACGGGUGUGAAGUCAUUGAUGCCAUGCUUCCAGGAAAAGCCUCUAAGCUUCAGAUUGUAAGGAAUCGUACCCCAAACCGACACAGGUGGUCGGGUAGAGAAUACCAAGGCGCUUGAGAGAACUCGGGUGAAGGAACUAGGCAAAAUGGUACCGUAACUUCGGGAGAAGGUACGCUCUUGAUGGUGAAGUCCCUUGCGGAUGGAGCUGACGAGAGUCGCAGAUACCAGGUGGCUGCAACUGUUUAUUAAAAACACAGCACUGUGCAAAAUCGUAAGAUGACGUAUACGGUGUGACGCCUGCCCGGUGCCGGAAGGUUAAUUGAUGGGGUUAGACUUCGGUCGAAGCUCUUGAUCGAAGCCCCGGUAAACGGCGGCCGUAACUAUAACGGUCCUAAGGUAGCGAAAUUCCUUGUCGGGUAAGUUCCGACCUGCACGAAUGGCGUAAUGAUGGCCACGCUGUCUCCACCCGAGACUCAGUGAAAUUGAAAUCGCUGUGAAGAUGCAGUGUACCCGCGGCUAGACGGAAAGACCCCGUGAACCUUUACUACAGCUUGGCACUGAACAUUGACCCUACAUGUGUAGGAUAGGUGGGAGGCUUUGAAGCACGUACGCCAGUAUGUGUGGAGCCGUCCUUGAAAUACCACCCUUGUAGUGUUGAUGUUCUAACGUCGACCCCUAAUCGGGGUUGCGGACAGUGCCUGGUGGGUAGUUUGACUGGGGCGGUCUCCUCCCAAAGAGUAACGGAGGAGCACGAAGGUGGGCUAAUCACGGUUGGACAUCGUGAGGUUAGUGCAAUGGCAUAAGCCCGCUUGACUGCGAGAAUGACAAUUCGAGCAGGUGCGAAAGCAGGUCAUAGUGAUCCGGUGGUUCUGAAUGGAAGGGCCAUCGCUCAACGGAUAAAAGGUACUCCGGGGAUAACAGGCUGAUACCGCCCAAGAGUUCAUAUCGACGGCGGUGUUUGGCACCUCGAUGUCGGCUCAUCACAUCCUGGGGCUGAAGUCGGUCCCAAGGGUAUGGCUGUUCGCCAUUUAAAGUGGUACGCGAGCUGGGUUUAGAACGUCGUGAGACAGUUCGGUCCCUAUCUGCCGUGGGCGUUGGAAGAUUGAAGGGGGCUGCUCCUAGUACGAGAGGACCGGAGUGGACGAACCUCUGGUGUUCGGGUUGUGUCGCCAGACGCAUUGCCCGGUAGCUAAGUUCGGAAUCGAUAACCGCUGAAAGCAUCUAAGCGGGAAGCGAGCCCUGAGAUGAGUCUUCCCUGAUACUUUAAGUAUCCUAAAGGGUUGUCGGAGACUACGACGUUGAUAGGUCAGGUGUGUAAGUGCUGUGAGGCAUUGAGCUAACUGAUACUAAUUGCCCGUGAGGCUUAACCAUACAACACCCAAGGGGUUU